rnacentral:rRNA from 1 species
CCUGGCUCAGGAUGAACGCUAGCGGCAGGCCUAAUACAUGCAAGUCGAGGGGUAGAGUGAGCUUGCUUGCUUGAGACCGGCGCACGGGUGCGUAACGCGUAUGCAACCUACCUUUAUCUGGGGGAUAGCCCGGAGAAAUCCGGAUUAAUACCGCAUAAAAUCACAGUACUGCAUAGUACAAUGAUCAAACAUUUAUGGGAUGAAGAUGGGCAUGCGUGUCAUUAGCUAGUUGGCGGGGUAAUGGCCCACCAAGGCGACGAUGACUAGGGGAUCUGAGAGGAUGACCCCCCACACUGGUACUGAGACACGGACCAGACUCCUACGGGAGGCAGCAGUAAGGAAUAUUGGUCAAUGGAGGCAACUCUGAACCAGCCAUGCCGCGUGCAGGAAGACUGCCCUAUGGGUUGUAAACUGCUUUUAUCCGGGAAUAAACCUAAAUACGUGUAUUUAGCUGAAUGUACCGGAAGAAUAAGGAUCGGCUAACUCCGUGCCAGCAGCCGCGGUAAUACGGAGGAUCCAAGCGUUAUCCGGAUUUAUUGGGUUUAAAGGGUGCGUAGGCGGCCUGUUAAGUCAGGGGUGAAAGACGGUAGCUCAACUAUCGCAGUGCCCUUGAUACUGAUGGGCUUGAAUGGACUAGAGGUAGGCGGAAUGAGACAAGUAGCGGUGAAAUGCAUAGAUAUGUCUCAGAACACCGAUUGCGAAGGCAGCUUACUAUGGUUUAAUUGACGCUGAGGCACGAAAGCGUGGGGAUCAAACAGGAUUAGAUACCCUGGUAGUCCACGCCCUAAACGAUGAACACUCGCUGUUGGCGAUACACAGUCAGCGGCUAAGCGAAAGCGU